GGCGGGCUGGGCGGGGCGGUGACGCCGGGCGCGCUCUCCGCGGGCGAGCGGCAACUCGUCGCCGCGGUGCGGGCGUACCUGUCCCCCGCCCCGCUG
rnacentral:tRNA from 1 species